UCCGAACUUCGGCAAGUAGUUUCAAUUGAUAAUAGAAAGUAGUUUCAUUUGAUAAUAGAAACACUAACCUUUGCUUGUUUGAUGAAAAUUCUUAUAUACCAUGACAAGAGUAUAGAUCAUUCUGUUGCCAAUAUUGACAAUUGUAAAAGCACAUCCUUUUGCAGUGAUUUGAAGUGAGAAAUUUCCGGCAGGCUUAUGAUUUGGUCGAGCAUAGGAAGGUGCAGGGCAUCAUGUUUUAUCUGCUUUUGUUGAGAUUGUGUUGAUAAUUCCGACAAUCACAUCCCGGUGGUGCAGUCGGGAUUGGACCAUCAUCAAGACAGGAACGACCCACAGGUGGAACAGGUAGGUGAC